UCCGGACUUGAGACGGAGAGGUGAGAAAUGUCUGGCCACGUGGACACUGCCUUCUCGAUAUGUCGAUUCUUGUAUCUGCUCCGGUUUCGAUUUCCGGAGUCCCUGGCUGGUCUUUGAGAGGGUUUCUCAUCUCGGUCGGUUCGGUCUGAUCUGAUCGUCUUGGUAUCCUGCAUUUUUUGCGCCUUAGCGCGGCUGGCGACAUCUUCUUCCCAAUUGACCUGCGCCCAGGCUUGAGAUAGGACGUCUUCCAUGGUGUUGCACUGGUAUUUGG
rnacentral:lncRNA from 1 species